CUGAAGAGAGUCAAAAAGCUAACCAAGGGUUAAACCCACAGUUAGGCCACGUCUCUGAGCAUAUUUCUUCAAUGCCAAUCAACAAUCACACAGAAAAUAACAACAACCCUUUAGCUCAUCAUGAGCUCAUGCCAAUGCCACCGAAGCCCUUCAACACUAUGGCUGCUGCAAGCAUUUUUGAAAGCAGUAAUAAUAAUUUGCAACAAUCAGCUGCUGCUUCUGCUUCGUUGUCUGCUACAGCUUUGUUGCAAAAAGCAGCCCAAAUGGGAGCAACAGCUAGCAAUGGCAGCAUGAUAAGCUCCCCGAUGAUGCACAAGAGUCUCGUCACAAGCAUGGCACCACCUUCAUUUGUUGCAAUUCCGAAAGAUCAUCAGUCAUUAUCAGCAGCAGCAGCAUCAAUGGAGGAGAUAUCGCUAUCGUCGUCGGCGCAGUUUUUCAGUGCAAAUAUUG
rnacentral:lncRNA from 1 species